AUUGAACGCUGGCGGCAGGCUUAACACAUGCAAGUCGAGCGGAGAGAGGUAGCUUGCUACUGAUCUUAGCGGCGGACGGGUGAGUAAUGCUUAGGAAUCUGCCUAUUAGUGGGGGACAACAUUUCGAAAGGAAUGCUAAUACCGCAUACGUCCUACGGGAGGAAGCAGGGGAUCUUCGGACCUUGCGCUAAUAGAUGAGCCUAAGUCGGAUUAGCUAGUUGGUGGGGUAAAGGCCUACCAAGGCGACGAUCUGUAGCGGGUCUGAGAGGAUGAUCCGCCACACUGGGACUGAGACACGGCCCAGACUCCUACGGGAGGCAGCAGUGGGGAAUAUUGGACAAGGGGCGCAAGCCUGAUCCAGCCAUGCCGCGUGUGUGAAGAAGGCCUUAUGGUUGUAAAGCACUUUAAGCGAGGAGGAGGCUACUUUAGAUAAUACCUAGAGAUAGUGGACGUUACUCGCAGAAUAAGCACCGGCUAACUCUGUGCCAGCCGCCGCGGUAAAAC
rnacentral:rRNA from 1 species